UACGGGGGGGGGCAAGCGUUGUUCGGAAUUACUGGGCGUAAAGGGCUCGUAGGCGGCCAACUAAGUCAUACGUGAAAUCCCUCGGCUUAACCGGGGAACUGCGUCUGAUACUGGAUGGCUUGAGUUCGGGAGAGGGAUGCGGAAUUCCAGGUGUAGCGGUGAAAUGCGUAGAUAUCUGGAGGAACACCGGUGGCGAAGGCGGCAUCCUGGACCGAUACUGACGCUGAGAAGCGAAAAGCAUGGGGGAGCGAACAGG
rnacentral:rRNA from 1 species